rnacentral:rRNA from 1 species
UGUCUGAAUAUGGGGGGACCAUCCUCCAAGGCUAAAUACUCCUGACUGACCGAUAGUGAACCAGUACCGUGAGGGAAAGGCGAAAAGAACCCCGGCGAGGGGAGUGAAAAAGAACCUGAAACCGUGUACGUACAAGCAGUGGGAGCACCUUCGGGUGUGACUGCGUACCUUUUGUAUAAUGGGUCAGCGACUUAUAUUCUGUAGCAAGGUUAACCGUAUAGGGGAGCCGCAGGGAAACCGAGUCUUAACUGGGCGUUAAGUUGCAGGGUAUAGACCCGAAACCCGGUGAUCUAGCCAUGGGCAGGUUGAAGGUUGGGUAACACUAACUGGAGGACCGAACCGACUAAUGUUGAAAAAUUAGCGGAUGACUUGUGGCUGGGGGUGAAAGGCCAAUCAAACCGGGAGAUAGCUGGUUCUCCCCGAAAGCUAUUUAGGUAGCGCCUCGUGAAUUCAUCUUCGGGGGUAGAGCACUGUUUCGGCUAGGGGGUCAUCCCGACUUACCAACCCGAUGCAAACUACGAAUACCGAAGAAUGUUAUCACGGGAGACACACGGCGGGUGCUAACGUCCGUCGUGAAGAGGGAAACAACCCAGACCGCCAGCUAAGGUCCCAAAGUCAUGGUUAAGUGGGAAACGAUGUGGGAAGGCACAGACAGCCAGGAUGUUGGCUUAGAAGCAGCCAUCAUUUAAAGAAAGCGUAAUAGCUCACUGGUCGAGUCGGCCUGCGCGGAAGAUGUAACGGGGCUAAACCAUGCACCGAAGCUGCGGCAGCGACACUAUGUGUUGUUGGGUAGGGGAGCGUUCUGUAAGCCUGCGAAGGUGACCUGUGAGGGUUGCUGGAGGUAUCAGAAGUGCGAAUGCUGACAUAAGUAACGAUAAAGCGGGUGAAAAGCCCGCUCGCCGGAAGACCAAGGGUUCCUGUCCAACGUUAAUCGGGGCAGGGUGAGUCGACCCCUAAGGCGAGGCCGAAAGGCGUAGUCGAUGGGAAACAGGUUAAUAUUCCUGUACUUGGUGUUACUGCGAAGGGGGGACGGAGAAGGCUAUGUUAGCCGGGCGACGGUUGUCCCGGUUUAAGCAUGUAGGCUGGUUAUCCAGGCAAAUCCGGAUAAUCAAGGCUGAGGUGUGAUGACGAGGCACUACGGUGCUGAAGUAACAAAUGCCCUGCUUCCAGGAAAAGCCUCUAAGCAUCAGGUAACAUCAAAUCGUACCCCAAACCGACACAGGUGGUCAGGUAGAGAAUACCAAGGCGCUUGAGAGAACUCGGGUGAAGGAACUAGGCAAAAUGGUGCCGUAACUUCGGGAGAAGGCACGCUGGUGUGUAGGUGAAGUCCCUGCGGAUGGAGCUGAGACCAGUCGAAGAUACCAGCUGGCUGCAACUGUUUAUUAAAAACACAGCACUGUGCAAACACGAAAGUGGACGUAUACGGUGUGACGCCUGCCCGGUGCCGGAAGGUUAAUUGAUGGGGUUAUCCGUAAGGAGAAGCUCUUGAUCGAAGCCCCGGUAAACGGCGGCCGUAACUAUAACGGUCCUAAGGUAGCGAAAUUCCUUGUCGGGUAAGUUCCGACCUGCACGAAUGGCGUAAUGAUGGCCAGGCUGUCUCCACCCGAGACUCAGUGAAAUUGAACUCGCUGUGAAGAUGCAGUGUACCCGCGGCAAGACGGAAAGACCCCGUGAACCUUUACUAUAGCUUGACACUGAACAUUGAGCCUUGAUGUGUAGGAUAGGUGGGAGGCUUUGAAGCGUGGACGCCAGUCUGCGUGGAGCCAACCUUGAAAUACCACCCUUUAAUGUUUGAUGUUCUAACGUUGGCCCCUUACCGGGGUUGCGGACAGUGUCUGGUGGGUAGUUUGACUGGGGCGGUCUCCUCCCAAAGCGUAACGGAGGAGCACGAAGGUUAGCUAAUCCUGGUCGGACAUCAGGAGGUUAGUGCAAUGGCAUAAGCUAGCUUGACUGCGAGCGUGACGGCGCGAGCAGGUGCGAAAGCAGGUCAUAGUGAUCCGGUGGUUCUGAAUGGAAGGGCCAUCGCUCAACGGAUAAAAGGUACUCCGGGGAUAACAGGCUGAUACCGCCCAAGAGUUCAUAUCGACGGCGGUGUUUGGCACCUCGAUGUCGGCUCAUCACAUCCUGGGGCUGAAGUAGGUCCCAAGGGUAUGGCUGUUCGCCAUUUAAAGUGGUACGCGAGCUGGGUUUAGAACGUCGUGAGACAGUUCGGUCCCUAUCUGCCGUGGGCGCUGGAGAAUUGAGGGGGGCUGCUCCUAGUACGAGAGGACCGGAGUGGACGCAUCACUGGUGUUCGGGUUGUCAUGCCAAUGGCACUGCCCGGUAGCUAAAUGCGGAAGAGAUAAGUGCUGAAAGCAUCUAAGCACGAAACUUGCCCCGAGAUGAGUUCUCCCUGAGACUUUAAGUCUCCUGAAGGAACGUUGAAGACGACGACGUUGAUAGGCCGGGUGUGUAAGCGCAGCGAUGCGUUGAGCUAACCGGUACUAAUGAACCGUGAGGCUUAACCUU